CGUUGCUGUCCAUGGAACUCUGGGCCAGUUAUCAAGGAGACUGUACCUGCCGAGCCACUCACAAGGGUGGCAAAAUCACGUCACCCCACCGAACGGCGCCUCUGGACUGGGGGUGGGGGAGGGGGGAUCGUAACCUAUCUCAGCGGUUCGCACACUUUACACUUCAGCCAAUCACAAUCCCCAGAGAUUCGUUAAAGCACAGUUGGCUCCUGCCUUCCCCACCUCAUCCGUCCAACCUCCCCUUUCUGACUCUUUAAGUCUUCCAAGGGCCGGAGAUUUUGCGUUUCUAACAAGUUCCCAGGUGAUGCCGAGGCAGUCGUGAAGAUCAAGAGCUAGCGUUCACGUUUCAUUUCGUUCCAACCCCGGCCUCUUUUCCUCGGAAUGUUAGACUCUUACUUUUCCUCUUGAGUAUGCGCCAAGCCUAUGUGUGUAGCAGCAAAAGCGUUGGUCCGGCGAUCGUUUCUGCUUUCACACGACAGAUGAGAGCCCCGGGAUGGUCCGCCCCCCACAGCAGGUGCUUGCUGCACCCCUACUGGACAUGCCCCAGCCCAACAACCGCCUGUGCUGGUUUGAACUUCUUCAAAGCCCGGUCGAACCCCACGCCUAAAUGCCACAAUUCGAGCGCUCCCUCCCGUUCUCUUUCUGGGUGGGACAGCAAACAGCUGGUUGAUCAGUCCCGUGGACAACGAUUCUCCACGUAGCUGGAGAUCCUGGUGCUCGGAUUGUAUUACUGAAUGCUGCCGAGAGAAGACGUGCCUUAUCAUUCCACCCUGUUUAUUAAAAACAGCUCUUUUAUCUUCCUUAUAAAGCCUCGCCUAACUCUAAACCAGGAUUUUAUUUAAUAUGGCAGGAUAAAGAAACAAGUAACUCUCCCCUUCGGUACGAACUGGAACAACACAGGAAAUAAAAGACUAGCCAUGCAGUCA
rnacentral:lncRNA from 1 species